GAACUCUCUCCUCUCCACUUCUCAACUCUCUUGUCUUCUUCUCGUCUCAAACCGCCGCACCUCUCUCAUCUCAUAAAACCUAGAAAAACCUAACCUAAUUUCAAUUCACUACAAGAAAAAAUCAAUUUUCCAUCCCUUCAUCCCUUCGCAUUUCUACGCUACACAUUCUCCCUAGAAACCCUAUCUUUUUCCCCAAAUCACAAUCCCUCAAUCUCAAAAUUUGAAAUCGAUUUCUGAAAGUAAUCUCUCUCCCUCAAAUCGUAUUGCGCCAAGUCUUUCAAUAUCCAUCUUCCUUUCUUGUGCAAAUGAUGGAAAACACUCUGCUUCGAUUUGAUGUUACAAGAUGACAAAUUCCCCUGUUAAUUUGGAUUUUCAUCAGAUUUUGGAGAUGCGAACUGCCCAUGUUGUUUCCGUUGGCUCUGAAUGUCCAUGUUCAUUGAAUCCUGAUUGUGAAGAGGGGUAGGUUUGAGCAUAUUUCUUUCUUGUUUUUAGAAGGAAAGAUGCAAAAGUUUGGCACUUUUCCGGUCGUUUACAGCUGCAGAUUAUGUUGCAGUCCAAUGUAUUAGGAGAAGGAAUAUGCAUUACUUCAUGGAGAUUUUCAAAAAAGUCGAUGUCAUAGUGACUCCAACAACUGGCAUGACGACGCCCAUCAUACCUCCAAGUGCUCUUAAAAGUGGUGAAACAGAUAUGCAGACAACAGGCUUUAUUUGUCAAAGAUCCAAUUGUUUCUGUCAUUAGUGUGACCUGGAGCUGUGGCAGAGCUGUGUUAAAACAGAUGAUAGAUUUGAUUACCUCACUAGAAGGAGAAAAAGACUUGUUCAAAUACACAUUAUCACUAAGAGAGAACAAAAUCAUGCCACAAAUAGCUCAAUGGAACAUGAAUAACAAGGUUAGCUUUAAACACACAUGUUAAAGUUUGUUUUAACUGUGGAUUUUCAUUCUUGUUAUUUCAAUGCAGAAAGUUAUAAAUGGAGGAAAAGUAACAAAUUGAGCAUGUAUCGAUUUCUCAAGAAAUGUUCAAAUUUCGGAGGGGAAAUUUGUCCAUCCAUUGCAGCAGUAAGCAUUUCCAAACUCCUAUAAAUGGAAUCAAAUGGGCGUCCACAGAAACUUGUAAAUUGUCCGGGUACAAAUGCCGGUGUAUAUGUUCGGAAAAUGGGAGUUGAUAAUAACCGAAAAAAGAGAGAUUUACAAGAGGAUGAGACACUUGACACAUCCAAGAACAAGAAACUAAAAAUGGGUCCUGAAGUUGAAAAGGAUGAUGCCCUGAAAGCUUUAGAAGGAGUCACGCUCGGCUGGAGAGAACUAGUUUUCUUAGGGAGCAAAUAAAAUUAGCUUCUAGAGCACUUAUA